CGACAAAUAGGACUCGGCUGAGAUAGUAUUGCAGUGGUCGCCAUAAGGAAGCUCAUGAAACAAGCCAACAGACACACGCCACCGAGAUGGCGUCUAGAUGGGCCCAUCUGCUAGACGUGAAAGAAUAGUUAAAGAAGUCACAUUCUCACGGCUGGAUGCAAAUUCUUAAUAAUUCAAAAACAAGGAUUAUAAUGACGUCGGUGGAUACACGGGUGAAGUGAAAAAAACAAGUCGUCAUCUAUUAUUUAUCAUUACUUUGUUCCAGGAGCUAAACCUUUCGAUCUCUUGUAAGAUUUUAAAGGGAGCUUUUAAAGAAGAAAUGAUUCUAGGAGACUUGUUUAGACGAACUGGUGCACGCAAUGUUACCUCCCUUGAGCUGUUACCCCGAAGCUUUUCUGGACUACGACAUACGUGAUGUUUACAAUGUUGCUAAUAACUACAAAAUUUGCUCUCCGCUACUGCGCAUGGCAUGCUUAUGGUAAUAACUUCUGCAAGCCGGCGCUUGAGCUGGGGUUCUACUUUGGAUAAGACUUAUAUAUUAAAUAUUUUAUUAGAUUUAACCUUGUGAAUAAGUCUAUAAUUAAACAAUAAACGUUGCAAAGAACUUA